ensembl:lncRNA
UGACAAUGUAUCAUUAAAAUAUGAAUUAUUAAAGAUAUUUGACUUGUAAUGCACCAUAACUGAGUAGAGCAAAGCAAAAACUGCCUUGACUUGCCCUCAAACAACGCUUUCUAACUCUAAAUCUAUUUGGAGUAUCAAUAUCAUUUUUUCACCGUAAGAGACAGCAGGCUUUGGUGAACAAUCAUGGAAAUUUUCAGGUCUCUGUGGAAAUCCAUUAAAAAGAUAUGACGAGAGAAAAAAGUGGUUCAUUUCCAGAGUUUGAAAUCUGAAGAAAUCUGAGCGAGGGACGAAUUUCCUACCCUCAAACAAGUCUAACUCAUUUCAGAACGGUAAUAGGUGAGAAAGAAAUUCUUGAAUUGUGAGCGUCAGGAGUGUCUGAAGAUAUACUGGGACAAGCCUCAUGUUUUAACUUCGCUUCGUUAAGGAGAUAUGACGAUUCGAAUAUGCCUCUCAUUACAGAAAUCAAGCGGUGAUUUUGAACAAACUCUCCAUUGACUUUCUAUGGAGAGUUUUCAGACUUUGUGUUGGUCUG